GGGCGUUAAGUUGCAGGGUAUAGACCCGAAACCCGGUGAUCUAGCCAUGGGCAGGUUGAAGGUUGGGUAACACUAACUGGAGGACCGAACCGACUAAUGUUGAAAAAUUAGCGGAUGACCUGUGGCUGGGGGUGAAAGGCCAAUCAAACCGGGAGAUAGCUGGUUCUCCCCGAAAGCUAUUUAGGUAGCGCCUCGUGAAUUCAUCUCCGGGGGUAGAGCACUGUUUCGGCUAGGGGGCCAUCCCGGCUUACCAACCCGAUGCAAACUGCGAAUACCGGAGAAUGUUAUCACGGGAGACACACGGCGGGUGCUAACGUCCGUCGUGAAGAGGGAAACAACCCAGACCGCCAGCUAAGGUCCCAAAGUCAUGGUUAAGUGGGAAACGAUGUGGGAAGGCCCAGACAGCCAGGAUGUUGGCUUAGAAGCAGCCAUCAUUUAAAGAAAGCGUAAUAGCUCACUGGUCGAGUCGGCCUGCGCGGAAGAUGUAACGGGGCUAAACCAUGCACCGAAGCUGCGGCAGCGAACGUAUCACCCAAGACAACUUUACGGAGUUGACGAUUGACGGAGCGAAGCGACGUCAAAGCGUUCAUUAAAGUCGAGUUGGCUUAGGGAUACGUUCGUUGGGUAGGGGAGCGUUCUGUAAGCCUGUGAAGGUGUGUCGUGAGGCAUGCUGGAGGUAUCAGAAGUGCGAAUGCUGACAUAAGUAACGAUAAAGCGGGUGAAAAGCCCGCUCGCCGGAAGACCAAGGGUUCCUGUCCAACGUUAAUCGGGGCAGGGUGAGUCGACCCCUAAGGCGAGGCCGAAAGGCGUAGUCGAUGGGAAACGGGUUAAUAUUCCCGUACUUGGUGUUACUGCGAAGGGGGGACGGAGAAGGCUAUGUUGGCCGGGCGACGGUUGUCCCGGUUUAAGCGUGUAGGUGUGUGUUCCAGGUAAAUCCGGUUCACUUUAACACUGAGGCGUGACGACGAGGCACUACGGUGCUGAAGCAACAAAUGCCCUGCUUCCAGGAAAAGCCUCUAAGCAUCAGGUAACAUCAAAUCGUACCCCAAACCGACACAGGUGGUCAGGUAGAGAAUACCAAGGCGCUUGAGAGAACUCGGGUGAAGGAACUAGGCAAAAUGGUGCCGUAACUUCGGGAGAAGGCACGCUGACACGUAGGUGA
rnacentral:rRNA from 1 species